UUCAAUGUUAUUGGUGGCUCGUUAUUGGUACGUCACACGCCUAUCAGGGGCACUCCCUAGGUGGUAUUUUGAGGGUGUGACACAUGCACCUUUAGGUAUGGUAAUAUCAAAUUUUUAGGUACAAUUUGGAAUGGUCUUUCCAAAGAUAGGAAACAUGAGUGGGGGUAAUAAAUCUGGUGUGUGGGUGCGUAUUGGUGAAACAUGAUGGCUGAAAGGGAGGGACACUUUCCUAAUAGGGCUAUUAUGUUGACAAUUCACAUAUAAUGGAAACAUUGAGAAUGGAGUCAUAAAAUGAAGAAUAUGCAAGUGGGUCUCCUUAAAAGCUACUGAAACGAGGAAUAUGGUAAGUGGGCAUAAUAAAAAGCAGCUGAAAUGAGGAAAGGGAGGGUAUUCAGCAUGAUGUUCAAAUCACAUAUGAAAGAAAGGCAUUAUGAGGAAAGGGAGGGUACUAAGCAUGAUGUUCUUGGUUGCCUUUCUUUCAAGGAUCAUCACUAGACAGUAGCGCAAGAAACAUAAGCAGCUGCUGAAAACUAGGUGGUAAGAGGCCUAAACAAGGAGCAUCACUCGACAGUAGCGCAAGAAACACACAUAAGCGGUCUGGGCAUAUCGAACACGGAUUUGUAUAAGACUAAGGG